rnacentral:SRP_RNA from 1 species
GGCGGGCCUUCCCGCAUGGCGAGAGAGCCAACCGGGUCAGGCGGGGAACCGAGCAGCCCUAACUCUUGCAGCCAGUGCCGGGGUCAAGGCUCGCCUUU